rnacentral:rRNA from 1 species
CGGGAAUACUGGGCGUAAGAGCUCGUAGGUGGUUUGUCACGUCGUCUGUGAAAUUCCGGGGCUUAACUCCGGGCGUGCAGGCGAUACGGGCAUAACUUGAGUACUGUAGGGGAGACUGGAAUUCCUGGUGUAGCGGUGAAAUGCGCAGAUAUCAGGAGGAACACCGAUGGCGAAGGCAGGUCUGUGGGCAGUUACUGACGCUGAGGAGCGAAAGCAUGGGUAGCGAACAGGAUUAAAUACCCUGGUAGUCCAUGCCGUAAACGGUGGGCGCUAGGUGUGGGGGUCUUCCACGACUUCCGUGCCGUAGCUAACGCAUUAAGCGCCCCGCCUGGGGAGUACGGCCGCAAGGCUAAAACUCAAAGGAAUUGACGGGGGCCCGCACAAGCGGCGGAGCAUGUGGUUUAAUUCGAAGCAACGCGAAGAACCUUACCAAAUCUUGACAUCCUUUGAAAACUCUAGAGAUAGAGCCUUCCCCUUCGGGGGACGAAGUGACAGGUGGUGCAUGGUUGUCGUCAGCUCGUGUCGUGAGAUGUUGGGUUAAGUCCCGCAACGAGCGCAACCCUUAAGCUUAGUUGCCAUCAUUAAGUUGGGCACUCUAGGUUGACUGCCGGUGACAAACCGGAGGAAGGUGGGGAUGACGUCAAAUCAUCAUGCCCUUAUGAUUUGGGCUACACACGUGCUACAAUGGACAAUACAAAGGGCAGCUAAACCGCGAGGUCACGCAAAUCCCAUAAAGUUGUUCUCAGUUCGGAUUGUAGUCUGCAACUCGACUACAUGAAGCUGGAAUCGCUAGUAAUCGUAGAUCAGCAUGCUACGGUGAAUACGUUCCCGGGUC